rnacentral:rRNA from 1 species
UGUGGAUUGUCCUUUGGACAAUGGUAGGAGAGCGUUCUAAGGGCGUUGAAGCAUGAUCGUAAGGACAUGUGGAGCGCUUAGAAGUGAGAAUGCCGGUGUGAGUAGCGAAAGACGGGUGAGAAUCCCGUCCACCGAUUGACUAAGGUUUCCAGAGGAAGGCUCGUCCGCUCUGGGUUAGUCGGGUCCUAAGCUGAGGCCGACAGGCGUAGGCGAUGGAUAACAGGUUGAUAUUCCUGUACCACCUAUAAUCGUUUUAAUCGAUGGGGGGACGCAGUAGGAUAGGCGAAGCGUGCGAUUGGAUUGCACGUCUAAGCAGUAAGGCUGAGUAUUAGGCAAAUCCGGUACUCAUUAAGGCUGAGCUGUGAUGGGGAGAAGACAUUGUGUCUUCGAGUCGUUGAUUUCACACUGCCGAGAAAAGCCUCUAGAUAGAAAAUAGGUGCCCGUACCGCAAACCGACACAGGUAGUCAAGAUGAGAAUUCUAAGGUGAGCGAGCGAACUCUCGUUAAGGAACUCGGCAAAAUGACCCCGUAACUUCGGGAGAAGGGGUGCUCUUUAGGGUUAACGCCCAGAAGAGCCGCAGUGAAUAGGCCCAAGCGACUGUUUAUCAAAAACACAGGUCUCUGCUAAACCGUAAGGUGAUGUAUAGGGGCUGACGCCUGCCCGGUGCUGGAAGGUUAAGAGGAGUGGUUAGCUUCUGCGAAGCUACGAAUCGAAGCCCCAGUAAACGGCGGCCGUAACUAUAACGGUCCUAAGGUAGCGAAAUUCCUUGUCGGGUAAGUUCCGACCCGCACGAAAGGCGUAACGAUUUGGGCACUGUCUCAACGAGAGACUCGGUGAAAUCAUAGUACCUGUGAAGAUGCAGGUUACCCGCGACAGGACGGAAAGACCCCGUGGAGCUUUACUGUAGCCUGAUAUUGAAAUUCGGCACAGCUUGUACAGGAUAGGUAGGAGCCUUUGAAACGUGAGCGCUAGCUUACGUGGAGGCGCUGGUGGGAUACUACCCUAGCUGUGUUGGCUUUCUAACCCGCACCACUUAUCGUGGUGGGAGACAGUGUCAGGCGGGCAGUUUGACUGGGGCGGUCGCCUCCUAAAAGGUAACGGAGGCGCUCAAAGGUUCCCUCAGAAUGGUUGGAAAUCAUUCAUAGAGUGUAAAGGCAUAAGGGAGCUUGACUGCGAGACCUACAAGUCGAGCAGGGUCGAAAGACGGACUUAGUGAUCCGGUGGUUCCGCAUGGAAGGGCCAUCGCUCAACGGAUAAAAGCUACCCCGGGGAUAACAGGCUUAUCUCCCCCAAGAGUUCACAUCGACGGGGAGGUUUGGCACCUCGAUGUCGGCUCAUCGCAUCCUGGGGCUGUAGUCGGUCCCAAGGGUUGGGCUGUUCGCCCAUUAAAGCGGUACGCGAGCUGGGUUCAGAACGUCGUGAGACAGUUCGGUCCCUAUCCGUCGUGGGCGUAGGAAAUUUGAGAGGAGCUGUCCUUAGUACGAGAGGACCGGGAUGGACAUACCUCUGGUGUACCAGUUGUCGUGCCAACGGCAUAGCUGGGUAGCUAUGUGUGGACGGGAUAAGUGCUGAAAGCAUCUAAGCAUGAAGCCCCCCUCAAGAUGAGAUUUCCCAACUUCGGUUAUAAGAUCCCUCAAAGAUGAUGAGGUUAAUAGGUUCGAGGUGGAAGCAUGGUGACAUGUGGAGCUGACGAAUACUAA